rnacentral:misc_RNA from 1 species
AGCAGCCGCGGUAAUUCCAGCUCCAAUAGCGUAUAUUAAAGUUGUUGCAGUUAAAAGCUCGUAGUUGAAUUUCGGGAUUGACACAUCGGUCGUGCCUUAAGGGGUAUGAACUGGUGUAGUCAAUUUCUCACCUUCUGGAGAACCGCGAUGCCCUUAAUUGGGUGCCGCGGGGAACCAGGACCCUUACUUUGAAAAAUUAGAGUGUUUAAAGCAGGCAUUUUGCUUGAAUACAUUAGCAUGGAAUAAUAAAAUAGGACGGCAUGAUUCUAUUUUGUUGGUUUCUAGGAUCACCGUAAUGAUUAAUAGGGAUAGUUGGGGGCAUUAGUAUUCAAUUGUCAGAGGUGAAAUUCUUGGAUUUAUUGAAGACUAACUACUGCGAAAGCAUUUGCCAAGGAUGUUUUCAUUAAUCAAGAACGAAAGUUAGGGAUCGAAGACGAUCAGAUACCGUCGUAGUCUUAACCAUAACUAUGCCGACUAGGAUCAGACGAUGUUAAUUUUUUAAUGUACUUCGUUUGGCUAC